GAGUUUGAUCCUGGCUCANGACGAACGCUGGCGGCUUGCNUAACACAUGCAAGUCGAGCAGGGGCAGCUUUCGGGNUGACCCGAGCUGCGGNCGGGUGAGUAACACGUGAGUAAUCUGUCUCUGUGCGGGGGACAACCCGGGGAAACUCGGGCUAAUACCGCAUGGGCGGACUCCAGGCUCUGGAGACCGGGAAAGGUAGCCUCUUUACAAUGCUGCCGUGCAGAGAGGAGCUCGCGGGCUAUCAGCUAGUUGGCAGGGUAACGGCCUACCAAGGCGACGACGGCUACGGGGUCUGAGAGGACGACCCCGCACAUUGGAACUGAGACACGGUCCAGACUCCUACGGGAGGCAGCAGUGGGGAAUAUUGGGCAAUGGCCGAAAGGCUGACCCAGCGACGCCGCGUGCGGGAGGAAGCCCUUCGGGGUGUAAACCGCUGUCAGGGGGGACGAAUGACUCUCUGGGGAAUACUCAGAGGGAGUGACGGUACCCCCAAAGGAA
rnacentral:rRNA from 1 species